GUGCAGAUAGUCAUACCUCUACAUAAUCAUGGUCAAACAUAAAAAUCAUAGAUAAUUAGAGAUGGCAGAAAAUUACUAUAAAUGAUUCUAAUAUCGUAGGUUCAAGAUCCCUACCAAGAUUAAUUGAUCAAUCCAAAUAUCCUUGGACUUCUGGAACCCCAUCUACUUCAUAGGAUUUUUAAAGAGAGGAAUCCAUAAAGAGAGAAAAUUGUAGCGAAAGAAGGUAGAGAAAGAAACUCAUAGAGC
rnacentral:lncRNA from 1 species